rnacentral:rRNA from 1 species
CUACGGGUUGCUGCAGUGGGGAAUAUUGCACAAUGGGCGCAAGCCUGAUGCAGCCAUGCCGCGUGUAUGAAGAAGGCCUUCGGGUUGUAAAGUACUUUCAGCGGGGAGGAAGGGAGUAAAGUUAAUACCUUUGCUCAUUGACGUUACCCGCAGAAGAAGCACCGGCUAACUCCGUGCCAGCAGCCGCGGUAAUACAGAGGGUGCAAGCGUUGAUCGGAAUUACUGGGCGUAAAGCGCACGCAGGCGGUUUGUUAAGUCAGAUGUGAAAUCCCCGGGCUCAACCUGGGAACUGCAUCUGAUACUGGCAAGCUUGAGUCUCGUAGAGGGGGGUAGAAUUCCAGGUGUAGCGGUGAAAUGCGUAGAGAUCUGGAGGAAUACCGGUGGCGAAGGCGGCCCCCUGGACGAAGACUGACGCUCAGGUGCGAAAGCGUGGGGAGCAAACAGGAUUAGAUACCCUCGUAGUC